rnacentral:rRNA from 1 species
UACUCAUAACAAAAAAUUUUUGGAAUAGUACUAUUAAUGAAAUUUAACGGAUUUGGCGGCAAGAUAGCCACUUAGAGGAACCUGCCCUGUAAACGAUGAACCACGAUUAACCUUACUUUUAUUAGAAUCCAGUUUGUAUACCGCUGUUGUCAGUUAGUUUCUUUAGAAAACUUUCGUACAUGAAAAGUUCAAGGACUUCAAGUAAAGGUGCAGCUUAUGUAAAAGAUAGAGGUGGGUUACAAUUAAAAGAAUAAUAUGGAUAAAGUAGAGAAGAAACUUUUGAAGGUGGAUUUAAUAGUAAAGUUUAAAAAGACUUGAUUAGAGCUCUAUCUUGUGUACAC